CCACUACAUAAGCUGUCUUCAGACCUUACCUCAACGCCGCAGUGUUGUUCCAGUUGGAAACCCGAGUCUCUUCUGUGAAAGCUCUUGGAGAGCUAACCUGCCGAGCCGACCCUCUGAGCCAAACCCUGAAGACUUUCUGAGAAAUCCCAAGCAGCUCAGGACUAGAGCUGGAAGAACCAAACUAAGGUCUGUCCAAGCUAGACGUGAGACGCUGAAGCAGCUACGGACUCUGCUGAUAAACUCUUCUCCAGAACCAACAGAAACUCCCCCAAGGAGAAUUACUCAAGAACCCUCAAGACUCCAGUGAAACCAGGACCCAGGCCCGAACCAGAUCCCAGUUCAUAUUGUGUUGUGCUUAAUAAACUGUUGAACUUUUAUCCUCGUGUCCGCCUUGUGGUGUUCUGCAUAACUGGGUC